UGGCUCGAGUGUCUGUGGAAUCGGUCGCGCUUAACGUCAACAUUGUCAAUCAUGGUCGUUUCUGCCUUAUAAAAAAUAGUAGAUCUUCUUCCCACAUUAGUAGAAGUUCGCAUGUUAUCCAACCUUUUAGUAUUCUCUGUGAACAUGAACCUACUGUGUGAAUAGCUUUUUGUGUUUUGGCUCAAGAAGAACUGUCAUUCAAUGUUUAUCAACUCGCGGGAUUUUAAGUCAUUUAAGUGCCAUUUGGUGCAUCCGGUGCACUACAGUUUUCUAAACCAUUAAAAACCCUAAGUUCUAGGAAUUUAUCUACAGAUAUAUUAAACAGUAGAUUUUUGAAAUGCUCCAGUUAGAGUAUUUCUCCCUAAUUCCCAUCGAUGAACUGGAAAACUAUGAUGAGAACACUUGGUUGUAUGUGUUGGAAAUCCGUCCACUAAAACUGGCUUAUGUUCCAACGCCAAGCAAUGUCACACAACCUGGUCUGAAUUCAACCAUCAACCUGAAAGACAAUUCAGAGUGGCUAGAUAAUCUAAGUCCAGGAGAUAUCCUCCUGCAGGAUGUUAUAGUUACAGACACAAUAUCAGAAAACGAUCAAACGAAAAUCAUUGAUACUCGAACAUUUACAAGACCACGCAAAAAUCGAUUUUCACCAUCUUUGCUAAAACCAAUUUCCCAACAGGAUGAGAAUUCUCAGUUAAAUAGCACAUAUAAUUACAAGACGGGGGAUGUUCUCAACAGGACCGAUGUAUUGAACGCAACAGUCGUCAUCGACGAACCAACAAACAACUUUGGUACUACAACACAAGGCGAAUUAAACGCCACCUUUCCGGUCGAACUGAAUGCACCUGCAGAGGAGGAAUUAAGUCCUUGCAACAACAAUGUGUACAACUUGAAUAGUACCUUCUCAACGCAACCAACAUCUGACCGCAGUUACUCAAUUGCGCCCGCUAAAGCAGUUCUAAAUGCCACUUAUGUAGAAGAGGUACCUGUUCAAGACCCCAUAACAUCCGAGUCACGAAACUAUUGCUUAGACGAACUUGAUGAGCUUAAUGAAAUUGAAGAAGAAGACCGAUGUGAUUUUAACGAAGAAGGCUUCCGCAAACCUCUGAUGCCUGGUGCUGUGCCAAAAAAACCUUUAAUUCGAACUUCAACAUGGAAUCACGAAGUGCUGCCCCCUUCACCCAAGAAAGAAAUCACACCUCCGUCGUCUAAAAUCACUCCUCCCUCUUCCAAAAUUACUCCUCCUGCUACCAAUGGGCUAAAAGAUAUUGAAAAAAGGGCCAAGCUACAAGAAGACAUUUUGGCUCAAACGUCUACACCGAUGGGUCAACGCCGUUUUAGUGCAUUUCCGCGACCAGCUGAGGUGGAUCAUCAUUUAGGAUCACCCAUUGUCAGUUUGGCAGAGGGCAUUGCCAAUUUCGGCCCACCCCACAUACUGAGGGAGUCUAUAAUCGAGAAUGCAAAUUUAGACUUGACAUUGGACAAUUCCAAUAAUCGAACCAGAGAGAUCAAAGCGCAACUUACGUUCGACAAGUCUCAAAAUUCGGUGGAGAACCAAUCCGAUUCGCCCUGCAGUCCAGCAAGCAGUCCCUACAGCUCGCAGUCUCUCGAUAGUGAAACGGGUGGUGCGACAACGGCGCGAGAAAUGAUCCGGCGGAGUAUGCCCAACCUGAACAAUCAGUCAAGAUUGCGUUUGCCGCAACCGUCGUCUUUGUCCGGGAAUCUGAACCGACAGCAUGGAAGUGAUUCUGGUUUGAGGCCUCCUUCCAUGAACAAUGUGGUCCGACCGCCUAUGCCGAACAGUUCGACUCUCGGUCUGAUGAGACCACAAUUUAAAGUGCCUCAACCACCGCCACCCGUAGAAACCACUUUGAAUACCACCAGGGGGACAGCGCCAACUCAACCGGUUAGGUCCAGCCAAUUGCAGCAACCAAGAUUGUCGGGAUUAGCUCCUCCGGCGCGCGGCAGUCUUCUUCCCAAUGCAUCGUCAAAAUUGAAACCCCUUCAAUUAGUGGCUCCUCGGGCUAGUGGUGCUGCUUUGCCGGUCAAAGCUGUCAUCCCGCCGGCGAAGGCGUCUAACGACGAGCUCAACUCUACGGUCAUCAUGGAGAAACCGUCGGUGCUGGCCGCCGCCCCUGUCCAUUCAGGCAUUCCGCGCCCUUCCAUGUUGUCGAAAAUUCCUAUGCCGCGAACGAUGAAACUUUACGAUUGCGGCAGUUGCCACGCAAGACUAUUGUUCUUCGUCUCGUGUUCACCUCGACUGCCCCAUCCAGAUCGAUCACGUUCAAGUACGGAAAUAUUCGAGAGCAUUUCAUCAUUCGGUGGCCGUGAUGAACUAGUUGGCCUUCCGUUCUGGCAUUUUGAAAAAUUUCAUUCGAUUUCAACGUCGAAAAUAGAUUGGCUUGACAGGAUCGGAAUGACUGAUUUCGAACCAACCUGUUGAGAAUUUGCAAUUGAUGGUUUUCUUUAAAGCGUAUUUUUCUUUUUAUUUUUUCAGUUUUGUGGAUAUCUUUUUUUAUUAUUAUUUCUUGAAAAACGAUACAACCUGAAACGUUGUAAUUGUUUUGUUAUCGACAUGGCCGUGUGUAAUCCGAAGAGUCAACAAACGCAAAACACGUCGUUUUUCGUGUUGGGGUGCCUCCGGUUGCAUCACAAAGACACACUUAAAACCUUACAAAUAUUUAAGGAAGAAACAAAAAAAUGCGUAGAAAAAAAAACGAAUAGUCAGCUGGAUGAUGUACAAUGCUGUGUCGACUGUAGUGAUAAAAAGGGAAAUCUGCUGCCUGUAUCAUAGGUUUUUAGAGGGCAAAAAAAAAAAAAGAGGCUAGUAGUAUGUAGUAGUAUCCAUAAUUCAUGUUCCGCAGUGACUUGAAGUCACGUUUCCCGCGUUCGAAGCGGGUGGCGAUGGAGUCCGCAUGCUGUCAUCAUUUCAUACGAAAGCCGAGCUGUUCCACGGAAGAACAGAUGAUCACGCUGUGGCGUAAAGGAAACUCACGGUUGAUUUAUCAUCCAUAAGAAGAGGAAGAGAAAAAAAAAAAAUCCAAACAUGAAAAUGCGACGCCAGAAUAAAAAAUAAAAUAAAACGGGACCUCUUCGAACUCUUGUCACGCUCGACGAACGGUUCGCAUAAUAGGAUGCUUGUAUUUUUUUAUACGUACACAAGCGGGUGUGUUUAAGUUAGACGUCUUAAUAGCAGCAUUCAUUUCUAUAAUCCCGUGUGUUUGUUUGUGUGAAAGUCGUAUUUUUGGAAAAACAUUUUCGUGUUUUCUCCGGUCAACACACGUCUCGACUGUGACCAGUCCCGCGUGAAAUAUGGCGGAACACGCCCCGUUCUAUCAAAUUCUGAAAGUUUUUAUUCCCCCCCCCCCUUUUUUCAGUAAAAAAUUAAAAUGUUCUUUUCUUCGAUUCGACUCGACUGUAAAAUCUUGUAAAAGAAUUAGACGCUUUCCAUUGGUAAAAAUUAAUGGCUCGGAAUGCGACACAUGGACCUCCCUUCUCUCUUUUCAUUGUGGACUUGCUACUGCUGGGUAUAAACUAUGUUACAGUUGCGUUAACGGUCUGUUCACGAUUCAGUCACGCAGUGUAAAAAGAGCUCAAGGAGGUAAAUAAGGCAACCCCUCCCUUUCCCUUAUUUACUUGGGGUCGUUAUUCAAUGCAAAAUAACAUUUUUGAGCCUGACCCCCCUCACUUUUUAAUUUACUCUUGGCGUCUUGUGUGAGCUGAAACAGCAGUAACUUACACAACAGCCAAGAUUAUUAUUAUUUUUUUUUUUUCUCUAUUUCUUGUUGACUUUAAAAAAAAUAUUGUGCCAGACAAAUAUGGUUUCCAAUUGGAUCCGAUCGAGAUCUAGACGGAAUUCAUGUCGUCUGCGAGUUUGACCAUUUGAUAACCCCACCCUGGUGGACCUACAUCGACGUCCAGUUUCGUUACUUCACCGUCGUUUCUGUGAAUGUAAUUGUUACCAUACAGUGGAUAUGGUAUCCCUCUGUAGACUGUGCAGCAGCGUUGUGUUCUACGUAUGUGAUUACUCAAUGGAGACAUUUUUCAACGAACGAUAGUGGCACUUGUCGCAAUGACAGUUCAGGCAUUUGUGUGUAUAUGAACCCUGUAGAAUUCCAUAUAUUUUUUUUUGUUCCAUCACAUCGCAUGAUAACAACGAAAAUGGAUUGUGAUGACGUGACAACAUGGGCAGAAAUAGAAUUUUUGUUUUUGACGUAUAUCGGAGAUGUAAAUAAAGAAGGAAAAUAUU